UUUGGAGCCAACUCCACCAUAGCACCACCGCCAUCACAAAAAGGGAGAUAACUUCCUAUGACCAACUCAUUUCAUCUACCUUAAGUUGUUGUACCAGUUGUUAUACUUUAAAAGAAGAUAACUUCAUGUGCAAGAAAGUAAGGAUUGUAACAAGUAGGAAAGGCAACAAGCAUCUAUAACAACCCCUGAAUUCUUAGACUCAUUCCUGGUAUAUUCUUCUUUAAAUUUAUUAUGAUGGUUGGUGGUUUGGAGAGAGUAUAGAAGAUAGAGAGAGAGAGAGAACAGUGGUGGUUUAGAUUUAGUGGUGAAGGGAGUGAUGGAGUUCAGAUCUGGAUCUGGAUCUGAGUUUAUUUGAAUCUGGAUUGGGGUUUGUUUGGCAGCGAUGGAAUGAAGUGGGUGGUGAUGGUGGUCGGGGUAGGUGGUGGUCGGGUGGUGGUGAUGGGCGGUGAGGGUAGGUGGUGCUUGUUUUGUUGUUAGAGAUAGAGAGAGAAAGAGAGUUGAGAUUUUAAACUUGUAAUUGUCUUAUUUUUUAUAAUUAUUUAUUUUAGUAUUUAGGGUAGAAUGUCUAAAAUACUCUCAUGCGAGGUCCACUUGGUCAGAUUUAACCAUGAAAACUAACUGAGUUGGAGCUAAAGGACAUAACGUGCAAGGGUUUGCAAACAUUGAGGAUGUAUUUUGUACUUUUUGAAGAUAAAGGACACACUUUGCAAUCCGAUGUUAACAUAAAUGACGAGUUUUGUAAUUUACUCAAGAGAAGAAAAAUGAAAGUGUCUACCCUCUCA
rnacentral:lncRNA from 1 species